CUAAUUGAACUAGGACUAGUUUUUUUCUUGCACUUGGCUUAUCCAAUAAACCAGUUGGACUUGAUCCAAUCAAGUUCAAACUAAAUCUAAUUAAAUUAUAUUUAAUUAGACUUAAUCUCAAUCCAUUGGCUUAAUCAAAUUAAGCCAAUUAGCAAUCAAAUUGCUAAUCGAUCCUCCUGCAACACUUGCACUAGGUUAAAUGUCAAUCGUAUUGAUCAUUUAACCCUAGAAUGAUUCUUAAUCGUUGAUCAACCAUCCGAUCAGAUCAUAAACUC
rnacentral:lncRNA from 1 species